rnacentral:rRNA from 1 species
UACGUAGGGUGCGAGCGUUGUCCGGAAUUACUGGGCGUAAAGCGCGUGUAGGCGGUCUGAAUAGUCUGCUGUGAAAGCGCCUGGCUUAACCGGGCGAGGUCGGCGGAAACUCUCAGACUGGAGGCCGGUAGAGGGGGGUGGAAUUCCCGGUGUAGUGGUGAAAUGCGUAGAGAUCGGGAGGAACACCUGUGGCGAAGGCGGCCCCCUGGGCCGCGCCUGACGCUGAGACGCGAGCGAGGGAGCGA